AGGACGAACACUGGCGGCGUGCUUAACACAUGCAAGUGGAGCGACGAACCAGGGCUUGCCCUGGGGCAGAGCCGCGAACGGGUGAGUAACACGUGGGUUACCUGCCUUGAUGACCGGGACAACCCGAGGAAAACUCGGGCUAAUACCGGAUGUGCCCGCAAGGGGAAAGGAAGCUUCGGCCUCCGCAUCAAGAUGGGCCCGCGGCCCAUUAGCUUGUUGGUGAGGUAACGGCUCACCAAGGCUUCGAUGGGUAGCUGGUCUGAGAGGACGAUCAGCCACACUGGGACUGAGACACGGCCCAGACUCCUACGGGAGGCAGCAGUGGGGAAUCUUGCGCAAUGCGCGAAAGCGUGACGCAGCAACGCCGCGUGGGGGAAGAAGGCUUUCGGGUGUAAACCUCUUUCAGCAGGGACGAAGCGAAGUGACGGUACCUGCAGAAGAAGCACCGGCUAACUACGUGCCAGCAGCCGC
rnacentral:rRNA from 1 species